rnacentral:lncRNA from 1 species
CACCAAGGAUUUAAUGAUUAACACAGGGAACUAUAUUCAAUAUCUCGCAAUAACCUAUAAUAGAAAAUAAUCUGAAAAAUACACACGUAACUGAAUUAUUCUGCUGUACACCUGAAAGUGACAUGGUACUGUAAAUACACUAUAUCUCUAUUUAAAAUAUCUUAAGGAAUGCACAAAACUAUCAGAAGGAAUAAUUAAGUUCAGCAAGUUUACAGGAUCAAUUCAUAAAAACAAUUCUAUUUCUAUAUAUUAGCAAUAAAUAAUAUAACAUGAAAUUAGGAAACCAAUUCCAUAUACAAAUGCAUCACAAAUACUGAAUAAAUUUAACAAAACAGGUAUAAGAUGUGUACACAAAAAACUACAAAAACCUUGCUGAAAGGAACUUAACAAAACCUAAAUAAAUGGAAAAGUAUGUUAUGUUCAUAGGUUAACACGGCAGCACUCUUGAAAUUGAUUCACAGAUUCAACGUAGUCCUUGUCAAAAUCCCAACUGGCUUGUUAGCGGAAAUUCACAAUAUGACUCUAACAUUCAUGAGGAAAUGCAAGAGAGCCAAAACAGUCAAAUCAACCAUUAAAAUAAAGAACACAGUUCGAAGACUCACCUUUCUCCAUUGUAAAGCUUAAACUACAAAGCUACAGUACUCAAGACAGUAUGGUACCACUAUAAGGAUUAUCUGUCUGUCUGUCUGUCUGUCUAUCUAUCUAUCUAUCUACCUAUCUAUCUAUCUAUCCAUCCAUCUAUCCAUCCAUACAUCUAUCCAUUCAUCUCACUCAAUGGAAAUACAAUGAGUAGAGAAAUAAACCCAUACAUCUACAUAGACUUAUUUUUGACAGGGAAGCCAUGACUUCUCAAUGGUGAAAGAGUUGUCUUUUCAACAAAUAGUGCUCAAACAACAGGAUAUUCAACAUGCCAAGAAAUGAAUUUCGACCUGUACUUCAUACCAUAUACAAAACAAUUACCAAUUUUGCAUGAUACAACAAAAUUUAAGAGCUAAAAAUAUAAAAUUCUUGGAACAAAAUUUAGAAAUCAAUCUCCAUAAUUGGGUAAGAAUAUAUGAAGGAUUUUGGCUUCUCAACAAUAAAAAGAACUCAGUCAAUAAAUAGCCAAAGAAUUCAAAUAGAUAUUUCUCCAAAAAAAUAUACUAAUGGCUAAUAAGCUAAUGAAAAGAUAUAAUACAUUACUACUUAUUAGGGAAAAGCAAAUGGGCUAUCACUUCACUAGGAUGACUUUAAAAAAAAAAGCAAAUAAUAUAAUUGUUGGGGGAGAUGUGGAAAAAUUAAUAUCAUAAUUUAUUAAUAGGAUUGUAAAAUGGAGCUACUUUGAAAAAAGUUGCAGAAGCAUUAUUAACAACAGCCCCAAAGUGGAAACAUAUAUUCAUAGCAGUAUUAUUUACAAUAGCCCCCAAAUGAAAACAUAUAUUUCCACAAACUGAUAAAUGGAUAAACAAAGUGGUAUAUUUAUACAAUGCAAUAUUAAGCAAAAAAUAAAAAAAGGAAGAUUAAAUAAUGCAUCAUGCUGAAGCAUGGGUACCAUCUUUUCCACAACCUUAUGAGCACUUUUUGUCUUAUUUUUUUUUUUGGUACCCAUCCUAAUAGGUGUGAGGUGGUAUCUCAUUUUUGUUAUGAUUCACAUUUCCCUAAUAAUUAGUGAUGUUGAGCAUGUUCUCAUUGUUUACUGAAUAUAUCAUGUAUCUUCUUUUGAGAAAUGCCUAUUCAGGACCUUUAUCCAUUUUUGAGUUGGGUUAUUGGUUUUCGUGGUUGAGUUCUCAUAUAUUCUGGCUAUUAACCUCUUAUCAGAUAUUACAUGGGUUGCCUUUUUACUUUAUUGGCAGUAUGUCUUCUAACGCAUAUUUAUUUAUUUAUCUAUCUAUUUAUUUAUUUAUUGUCUUUUUAGGGCUGCACCCAUGGCAUGUGCAAGUUCCCAGGCUAUGGGUCAAAUCUGAGCUGUAGCUGCCCACCUACACCACAGCCACAGCAAUGCAGGAUCUGAACUGUGUCUGCACCUUAACUCAUGGCAUUGCUGGAUCCUCAACCUGAGCAAGGCCAGGGAGCAAACCCACGUAUUCUUGGAUACUAGUUGGGUUCAUUACCACUGAGCCACAAUGCAUUAAUUUAAAAAAUGCAUUAAUUUUUAAAAAAAUUUUUAAGAAGUUCAACUUGUCUAUUUUUACUUUUGAUACCUGUGUCUUUGGUGUCACAUCCCAGAAGUCAAUGCCAAAUCCAAUGCUUAUAAAGGUUUUAUUUUCCUCUAAAAAUGUUAUAUUUUAGGUCUUACAUUUAGAUUCUGGAUGCAUUGUAAUUUUUGGAUAUGGUUUUAGGUAGGGUCCAACUUCUUUCUUUUACAUAGGGAUAUCCAGUUUUCCCAGCACCAUGCACUUAAAAGACUGACAUUUCCCCAUUGGUCUCAGCACCCUGUAAAAAAUCAUUUGACCACAUAUAUAAGAAUCUAUUUCUGGGCUCUCUUCUAUUAGUUUAUAAGUCUGUCCUUAUGUCAAUACAACACUAUUUUGGAUUAUUGCAUCUUUGUGUUAAGUUUUGAAAUCUCUUUGUUCUUGUUUUUCAGAAUUGUUUUGGCUAUUUAGGGUCCCUCGAGAUUUCAUGUAAAUUUUAAAACAGCUUUUCCUAUUUCUGGAAAACAAAAAAAGUCACUGGGGAUAGGAAUUACACUGAAUAUGCACGUCACUUUGGGUGGUAUCAGCAAUUCAGCAUAGGAAGUCCUCCAAGCCAUGAAAUAUAGGAUGUUUCCACUUACUGAUGUUUCUUUUAAUUUCUUUCAACAAGACCUUGUAGUUUUCAUUGCAAGUCUUUCAUCUUUUUGGCUAUGUUAAUCACUAAGUAUUUUAAUGCAAUUUCAAAUAGAAUUGCUUUUGUAGUGUUCUUUCCAAACUGUUCAUGGUUAGUGAAGAGAAGGGCAAUUGAUUUUAAUUUGUUGAUUUGAAUCCUGUUCCUUAGCUGAAUUAAUUAGUUCUGAGGUUUUUGUGGAAUAUUUAUGGUUUUCUAUAUAUUAGAUGACGUAAUAUGCAAAGUGAAAUUUCACUUUCUCCUUUCCAAUUUGGAUGCCUUUUACUUUUUUUAUCUUGCCUAAUUCUCUGGCCAGCACUUCCAGUACUAUCUUGAAUAGAUCUAAAGAGGGUAUUCUUGUCUUGUUCCUGAUCUUAGAAGAAAUACUCAUAGUCGUUCACCAUUGAGUAUGCUAUUCACUGAGUUUUUCUGUAAAUGGUUUUUAUUAUGUUAAAGUAGCUUCCUCCUACUGUUAUUUUUUUUUUUUUUAGUGCUUUUCAGGAAAGUGUGUUAAAUUUUGUCAAGUACUUUUCCUCUAUCAAAUGAGAUAUUCAUGUGGGCUUUUUCCUUUUCAUUCUGUUGAUGGGCAUAUUACACUGAUUUCCAUGUUGAACCAGCCUUUCUUUGCAGGAGCAAACUCCACUUGGUCAUGGUGUCUAAUCCUUUAAAUAUGCUGCCAAAUUCUGUUUCCCAGUAAUUUUUUGAGGAUUUCUGUAUCAGUGUUCAUAAGGAAUACUGGUCUAUAGUUUGCUUGAAGUGUCUUUUUCUUUGGUAUAAAGGGAAUGCUGACUUCAUAAAAGUGUACUCUAUUCUACAGAUAUUGGUUGGUGUAAAUUUUCUAUUGCAAAUAUAUCAAUUUUGGUAAUUUAUAUAGUUUAUGAGAACUGCCAUGUUGUUGAAAACAUCAAAUUUAUUUCU